AGCAGCUUGCUGCUUCGCUGACGAGUGGCGGACGGGUGAGUAAUGUCUGGGAAACUGCCUGAUGGAGGGGGAUAACUACUGGAAACGGUAGCUAAUACCGCAUAACGUCGCAAGACCAAAGAGGGGGACCUUCGGGCCUCUUGCCAUCGGAUGUGCCCAGAUGGGAUUAGCUAGUAGGUGGGGUAACGGCUCACCUAGGCGACGAUCCCUAGCUGGUCUGAGAGGAUGACCAGCCACACUGGAACUGAGACACGGUCCAGACUCCUACGGGAGGCAGCAGUGGGGAAUAUUGCACAAUGGGCGCAAGCCUGAUGCAGCCAUGCCGCGUGUAUGAAGAAGGCCUUCGGGUUGUAAAGUACUUUCAGCGGGGAGGAAGGUGAUGAGGUUAAUAACCUUGUCAAUUGACGUUACCCGCAGAAGAAGCACCGGCUAACUCCGUGCCAGCAGCCGCGGUAAUACGGAGGGUGCAAGCGUUAAUCGGAAUUACUGGGCGUAAAGCCGCACGCAGGCGGUCUGUCAAGUCGGGAUGUGAAAUCCCCGGGCUCAACCUGGGGAACUGCAUUCGAAACUGGCAGGCUAGAGUCUUGUAGA
rnacentral:rRNA from 1 species